ACGGAGGGUGCAAGCGUUAUCCGGAAUCACUGGGUUUAAAGGGUGCGUAGGCGGCUAAGUAAGUCAGAGGUGAAAGGCCACAGCUUAACUGUGGGACUGCCUUUGAUACUGCAUAGCUUGAAUUAGGUUGAGGUUGGCGGAAUGUGACAAGUAGCGGUGAAAUGCAUAGAUAUGUCAUAGAACACCAAUUGCGAAGGCAGCUGACUAGACCUAUAUUGACGCUGAGGCACGAAAGCGUGGGGAGCGAACAGG
rnacentral:rRNA from 1 species